GACAGAGGGUGCAAACGUUGUUCGGAAUUACUGGGCGUAAAGCGUGUGUAGGCGGUCCUGUAAGUCGGGUGUGAAAGCCCUGGGCUCAACCCCAGGAAGUGCACUCGAAACUGCGGGGCUAGAGUACUGGAGAGGUUGGUGGAAUUCGUCGGUGUAGAGGUGAAAUUCGUAGAUAUCGAGAGGAACACCGGUGGCGAAGGCGGCCAACUGGACAGAUACUGGACGCUGAGA
rnacentral:rRNA from 1 species